CGGCCCUGCCGCGGCGUCACCUCGCGCCUGCGCACAGCGCCCCCUCCCGACUAAGGACAGGAAGAACCAUAGAGGCACUCCGGGUUGUUUUUGUGGUGGUGGUGUUGCUUUUUGGGUUUAGGUUGCUUUCACAGCAAAGGUCUGCAGCUUCACUCCUGUAAGCCACCGAGACUGCGAACACUCCAGAAAGAAUGAACGCCUCCAGACGCGCUUCCUUAAGACUUGUAACACUCCUCGCGAGGAUCUCCAGGUUCCCUCCUUGAGCUAGCGAGAUCACGAACCCACCAGAAGGAUGAAACUCCGAACACAACAUCAAAAGGAGCAAACUCCGGCCACGCCGCCUUUAAGAACUGUGAUAUUCACCGUGAGGGUCCGUGGCUUCAUUCUUCAAGUCAGACGAAGAGCCCACGAAUUCCGGACACAGUUCCCAGCAAUGUGGAACUGCCACACCCAGGGGAGACGUGGAAACAGGAUGGCACAGAAGACGCGGAAUGAGCCAGUGCGGUUAACAAGAGGAAGCACAUGAAUUGGAAAGUUCAGUGAGCUCUUGUUUAGAUAAUAGGAUCCAUAUAUCACUAGUGAUAUUUU
rnacentral:lncRNA from 10 species